GGGGUCGUAGUAUAGCUUGGUAGUAUCCGAGGUUUGGGACUUCGUGACCUGGGUUCAAAUCCCAGCGACCCCA
rnacentral:tRNA from 1 species